AUUGAACGCUGGCGGCAGGCUUAACACAUGCAAGUCGAACGAGUGGCGGACGGGUGAGUAAUGCUUGGGAAUCUGGCUUAUGGAGGGGGAUAACUACUGGAAACUGUAGCUAAUACCGCAUACUAUAGGAUGAGCCCAUUUGGGAUUAGGUAGUUGGUGGGGUAAAGGCUCACCAAGGCGACGAUCUCUAGCUGGUCUGAGAGGAUGACCAGCCACACUGGAACUGAGCCACGGCCCAUACGCCGACGGGAGGCAGCAGUGGGGAAUAUUGCACAAUGGGCGCAAGCCUGAUGCAGCCAUGCCGCGUGAAUGAAGAAGGCCUUCGGGUUGUAAAGUUCUUUCAGUGGGGAGGCGUUACCUACAGAAGAAGCACCGGCUAACUCCGUGCCAGCAGCCGCGGUAAUAC
rnacentral:rRNA from 1 species